rnacentral:lncRNA from 1 species
CCAACCCGGAAGGACCACGGAUUUGCUGGCCAAGUUAGAGCUGAGCUUGCCAAGUUAGACAUGAUUUCAUGCCGUGGGGCUUUUUCUAGGGCUGGCUCUGUUUUCUUUAGCCUAUCGCCUGCUUAAAUUGGGGCCAGGAAGUGGCAGGUGAGGAGGCAGCCCCAGGAAAUAGUCCAGGAGGAUUCGUGGGGAGGGGCGUGCUUUUCCCCUCGAUCAGCAAGCACCGAGUCCCUUUCAACACCCAGAAAUAGACGCCACUGAGCUCUCUCUCCUCUGACCAUAAAAAGCAGCUGGCCCUGUAGGGAAGGCUGGCGGCUGCAAGCUCCAGGAGGCAGGAGCAGGAAUAAAGGCUGCCUGAGGAGCCUGGGAGUCCUGCUGCUGGCUCGAUGCUGGAGCCAUUCAGUCUCCUGGGCAAGAAACCCACCAGCUGAACACAGGCCGAGUCUCGCAAACAGUCCUGCGGCCACGGGGGCUCGGGCCACUCCUCGUUUCUGAGCUACGCCCUGUGACUAUUUACUAAAACUCGCCAGGCCGCUGCUGCUCUGUGAUGACCUCGAACCCGAACUUCAGCCCGAACCCGAACCCGCGUCACACUGCAGGCAGCCACUUCUGUGACGCAGUUCUAGCUCUUUGCACCGGGUUUUGCGUGCUCGUCUGACAUGCGUUCGGGGAAACUGAGCAUCCGGGAGCCGGUGUAAGCCGUGACCGCAGCCUGAGGAGCCGGGCCCUCCUGCGGGGGUUGAAUGCCGGGUCCCUGGCACGCGGAGGAGAGGCGGUGGGAGGCGGGGCGCGGCCGGAGCGCUGCACGCCGCUGGCCUCUGCCCCGCAGGCCUGGCCGAGAGCGGGAGGCGCCCGGCUGGGCCCCACAGACACCGGGACUGUGGCCAUCAGGCCAGGGCCAGGGACUCCCGUCUGCACCCGGCCUCUAGGGCCCUCACUCCCACAGCGCCCCCCAGCGGCACAGGGCCUCCUGGACGGAACUGAAAGUCUGAAAGUCCUGCCGGGCGACGCUCUGUUUGCACGUUUCGUCCACGUCUGCAGUGCAUCGUGACUGCGCUCCUCCCGUGGCGAAGGGACUGAAUGUUCCCAGGAGAAAUGGAGUUCUCUCCAACUGUUACUCAUGAAGAGGGCUGAUCCACCAAAGAACAAAUUCUUGGGAGAACUCAUACAAAUUUUUUUUCUACAUAAUUCUGUUAGUGUAUUUUCUUUGCUGGCUUUUAUUCAAAAGUUUAUUCAUAGAAGAUUGGAAGGAGCAAAGUUUAUAGUGCUUAUAAGAAUUUUUAAUUCCCAAAUGAUUCUUUUACAUAAUUAUUAAUUAUGAGCAAUAUAAUAAAGAAGUUCCAAUUUAAAUGGUUUCAUUAUAUUUCAUAGUUGGCCAAGUCAAAAGUUAAUAUCAUCAAUUUAUUCACAUUCCUAAGCAGAGCUGACUUCUUGCUCAAGUCUUAACUGAGACAAAGCCUACCUGCUGGGGCAGGCCAUUAAAUUUGAUCUUAUAAUUGUGUGUUCUUCUUGACCCAGUGCAUGCUUUUAUGAUUAUAUUGUAUUGUCUACCAAUAUAAAGACUGAGUUUAAACUAUUCAGAGUGUGAAAGUCAUGUUGAAGAUUUAGAAAAUCAUCAUUAUAGUCAGCAAACAAUUCUGUGCCAUUUACAGUGUAGUCUGCGAUGUAUCCUGUGGCCAUGGACUAUAGAUGUACAUAUCAUCAUCAAAGGGUCACCUAAAUGUCUCCUUACCAAAAUAAAAGGGCCUCCUCUUUCCUAUAACUUUUCCUAAGUACCUUAUCAAUAAUCUUUGUGGUUUUCUAUUUAACCUUUCUCUAAUUUUUCAAUGUCACUUAUAAAUAAUGAGUCCAGAAUCAUACAUUUGGGUUUUUAAAGGAAUCUGACAGGAGAUGUCUUUCUGUUUUUGUUUCAUGAGGGUGAUGUAGUAAUAUCCAUUUAUCCACAGGUCAAACUCCGCAAGGGCAGCCAUUGGUGUAAUCAGCAAAAAGCCAUCCUGCAGCUGGAAAAAAAUUACAUCUUUGAAUAAGUAGGUAAAACAAAUCUUUUAGGAAAGAGGAAAAACCCCACAGUUGGCUGUGUGGCAGAGGACUGUCUUUUGUCUUUCCUUCCUGUGCCUUUCCCAGUGGGGUUCUCUUAUUUCUGUCAUCCUGCUGUGUCCUGUAUUGGCUCAACUUCAGUCCCAACACAUUUGUUUUCUUUAUUUCCAUAGUGCUGCUGGAGGAGUUUAACAUUUUGGAAAAGAAACUCAAUAAAAACUAAGGAGAAUAUAUAUUUAAAAAAUAAAAAAAUGCAAAUACCCUGAAAAUAACCAAUUUUGCAAACUACAGGGUUUGGAAUUGAAGAAAACCAAACACUUGCCAUCAUCUACUGCUACAACCAUGGGUUCCUUUCCUCCCAGCAGCUCAGAUUCUUUGCCUCUGGUCCUCACACCCCAACCCAAAGGCCCAAAUAACUCAUGGUGGGAACAUCAGGUACCUGAAGUUUAAAUGUAUCCUUCUAUGGGAAGAACCAGAGUGGAACUAUCAAAACAGGAGGAAGAACUGCUUUUAGUACUCCCUCAUGCAUGGCCACAUCUGCCAUCCCCUUCUCAUGCCCUUUCCUCUGUCUUCAGGAAGGACAAUGAAGGGGGUGAGGAAAUUCCAAGAUCAUCUCUUGGUAGAAAAGAGGAACACGUAGCCCUCCCUACCUGGACUUCUGCCUGGACCUCUGCUGUAAGCUUCAGUGCUGUACAGGGUGAUUGCACCUUCUUAAUUUUCCAGAGUCUCUGAAAGAGAAAGGAAGCCAAUCUUGCCCUCCAGGAAAUGGGGGACAAUGUUGACUGUCACCACUUUGUACAGCUAUUGCUUGUUUAACAACUGUUAUGGCUUGCAUUUAGAUGUCCCCCAAAGCCUCACGUGGUCAUAGGUGGGGCUUUUUCAGAGGUGGCUAAAUCUAGACUGUGCAAUGCUGGAAUUGAUUCAUGAUGCAAUGCUAAGAUGAAGGGCACUAGGAUUAAAGGUGUGAGUGCUACCCACCCUAAGUAGCUGAAUAAGAUGUAAGGGAUAGAAAGAACUGUUGUUGUCCCUUGUUGCUUUUGCUACCUUCUGCCCCAUCAUGAACUCUUUCUCUUCUAUGAUGCCUGUCUGCCUUGCCAGCCUGCCUUGGAGCCAGAUGCUUAUAGACUAAAAUCUGCAGAAACUGUGAGCUAAAUAAACUUUUCCUCCCUUAACUUGUGAAUAUUGGGUAUUUUGUCUCAACAAGAAAAGUAACUAAUACAGAAUUUGGUACCAGGAGUGAGGUUGUUGCUGUGACUAUACCUGACCAUAUGGUUCAGGAGUUUGACAAGAGUUUGUAAAGGUUCAGCGAUACUGGCUAAAAAGGUAGAGCUGGAACACCUUAGGUUAUACUUGAUGGAAGAUUCUGGUCAGAGCUCAAAAGACCAAAAGGCUGAUAGAAAUCCUUCUAGUAAGGAAGGAUAGGAAUCCUUCCAGUAAAGACCAGGAUUGAGAUAUUUCUGCUGGAAAGAAACACCUCAUUAGCUGUUAGAUUCCAGACAAUAUGUGUUACACUUUCAUAGAAAGUUUGUCUACAUUUUGCUCAUGUCCAGAGACUUUGCCUAAGACUAAGAUUAAGGGUGGCAGACUAAUGAAUCUUCCAGAAAAAAUUUUGAGGAAGUCUAAUGUUGAGUCCAUGACAUAGCUUCUGUUGGGGGCUUCUAGCCAGAUCUAUGUUGAGAAUCAAGACCAAAGGGGCCAACAGAAUGACUUAAAACAUUGUAAGUUUGGCCAAAAAAAAUAAAAAUCAAUGGUCUGUGGACUGCAAAGAUAGAGCAGAAGAGAUCUUACUUGCAGCAGCAAAAAAAAAAAAAAAAAAAACAAAAACCCAAAAAACAAAAGAAUUAAAAAGAUGGUCUAAGGACAUCACAUGAAACAGCAGGACUCCAGCCUUUACAGUCUUAAAAUUGCAAAAGUAAAAGACUUUGCUUUAAAAAGAGAGCCCAGACCAUGUUCCAGAAUGGCAGUGGCCUAGGAAAGCUUUAUUUUCAGGAUUUGGUUCAGAGGCACUGGACCCCUACAGCCAAGAGAGAAGGAAGCCCGGCUACUGCUCCAGCUGGUGGCAGACCUUGGCAUCAUCCACGUGGUGCUGGUUUUAGGCACAUGCAGAUUGUGGGAGUUGUGGUGUCAGGAAGGCUUCCACCCAGAUUUCAGAAGAAGGCCUGGGAGGCAAGGCUGUGUGCCCCUGAGAGGGCAAGGGAAACAAUGCAAAAGAGAUCCCAAAAGUUGAGAGAAGCCAAGAACAUGGAUUGUCUGAGGAAAACUAUAGAGAGAGCAGAGCUGGCCCCAGAGAGAAGCCAUAUCAGCUACAGCAAGUGGCAGUGCUGUACAGACAGAGCCACCCAAGCCCUUUGGAGUUCACAACUUGCAAAUUGCAGAGCAUGCUGAAAGUGAAACUGUGAGAUUUGAUGUUUGCCCUGCGAGAUUUGGGUCUUGCUUUGUUAUCAUUCCUUGCUGUCCUUCUGUUUGUAACUUUAAAAAUAGAAGUGUCUAUCUUGUGCCAUCAAAUGUUAAAAGUGUUUAACUUUCUUUUCAUUUGUACAGGGGCUUGCAGCUAAGAGUUUGCCUUAAAUCUCAGAGGAGACUUGGGUCUUGGACUUUUCAGCAGUGCUGAAACUGUCAGGAUUUUGUCACCUCUUAGAGACGGACUCCAUGCCUUUUGCAUAAAGAGAUGUGCAUGAGUCUAGGGGGAGGGGCCAGGGGAUGAAUGCUUUGGCUUCUGUCUAGAUGUCCGCCUAAAGGCUCAUGUGGUCAUACGUGAUGGUUUUUUGGAGGUGGCUAGAUCUAGUGUGUGUGACUCUGGAAUUGAUGCAGUGCUUGGCUCGAGGCCAUUAGGAUUAAGGGUGUGAGUGCUGCCUGCCCUAAGUAGCCUGGAUAAGAAAGAGCUGUGGUUGUCCCUUGUUGCUUUGGUGCCUUUGCUCACCAUGAACUGUUUCUCCUCUGUGAUACCUGCCUGCCAUGCCACCCUGCUUUGGACCCAGCCUAAAACCUCUACAAACUGUGAGCUACAUAAACCCUUUUUCCCUUAACUUGUGGGUGUUGGGUAUUUUGUCUCAACAAUGGAAAAAUGUAACUAAGACAAUGACCUACCGUUUUAAUGACUGUUCAGGCUUAUGACCCUCCACUUGGACUUACACCCAAAUUCAGACUUACAACAAAAGAAUGCAAGCAGCAGUGCAGCCUUAUGGUGGCUCCUUCUACAGUGCUGUGAUUUUUGCUGAUUGUACUGUACUGUAGUUUUACGUUCUGUUAUACAUUACAGUAGCAUGUAAGAGUUAUGCAAAUAAAAGCAAAGUCAUCCAGUUGGAGUUUCUUUUGACCAUUUCUUUGUUCAGAAAAGUGUAAUGUGCAUACUGUAUACAAUUCCUCAUUUAGGGACCAAGUCGUUUAAUGACCCAGUUGCAGAAGCACAGCUAUGUCAUUAAGCAAGGAAUGUCCAUGACUCCUGUCAGCGACCUCUAAUGAAGAGACCAGUAAUGUUCCUGAGUAUCCCACAACACAACAAAGAGGUAUGCAGUUAAAAAAAAAAAUUGUCAAUAAGGCCAAGUUGAAAAACCCUGCAUUGAAACCAUAAAUAGCUAAUACAUUUUAGAUAUAUUCUGGAAACUGCCAUUGAAAAGUGAUUAUAGAUUUGAGAGUUUUCAAGGAGUAUCUUUUAGUCUAUAGUAAACUCAGGAUACAAUUAAAAAUAUCUCUUUAGAUGAAAACGAGAAACACCUUUACUGUCCAAAUUCUUUGGACAGUCAUCCAUAAUUUACUGAUCUGUGAGUAGGUUUAGAAAUUCUGGUGGAACUUAGGAAAAACAAACCUGUCCCCUCAGCUUUAAUAGUGUGAUCCAUGUGUUGUGGUCACAGCAUUCUGAGGGGUGAGUAUGGAACAUUUGUGCUCCCACAGGGACUGUUCCCUCACUGCCUCAGUAGCAGCUCCUUUUAGGCAAGUGUUCCAGCUUCACUAAUUUUUGAAGUUUUUGGUAAUGUUUUAUUUUUUAUUAGUCCACGUUUGCAGAACAUUAAUGACCACAUUCCUCCCGGGAAAUCGGUGCAUGCACACGAUACAGCUUAAGUCUUUUUUCACCGCAUUCUCUCCUCCCUCCCUGCCUCUUUCUCCUCCCUUCAUCACUCCAUCCCCUUUCUCUUAGAGAAGGACCUGUCUCCCUACUUCCUGUUAUCUAUCUUUUAUUUUCUCUUUGGGUUUCUCAUAUAAAAGAAACCAUGCCACAUUAAAGCUUGUGGGCCUGAUUUACUUCACUUAACAUCAUGGUCUCGAGGUGCAUC